AUUGAACGCUGGCGGCAUGCCUUACACAUGCAAGUCGAACGGUAACGGGUCCUUCGGGAUGCUGACGAGUGGCGAACGGGUGAGUAAUAUAUCGGAACGUGCUCAGUAGUGGGGGAUGACUGCUCGAAAGAGCAGCUAAUACCGCAUACGACCUGAGGGUGAUAGGUGGGGAUUGCAAGACAUUCAGCUAUUGGUGCGGCCGAUCACAGAUGAGCUAGUUGGUGGGGUAACGGCCUGCCAAGGAAACGAUCUGUAGUUGGUCUGAGAGGACGACCGGCCACACUGGGAUGGAGACACGGCCCAGACCACUACGGGAGGCAGCAGUGGGGAAUGUUGGACAAUGGGCGCAAGCCUGAUCCAGCAAUGCCGCGUGCAGGAAGAAGGCCUUGGGGUUGGAAACUACUUUUGUCAUGGAAGAAAUCUUCUGGGCUAAUACCCCGGGAGGAUGACGGUACCUGAAGAAUAAGCACCGGCUAACUACGUGCCAGCAGCCGCCGUAA
rnacentral:rRNA from 1 species